GAUGGCUCAGUGGUAGAGUGUUUGCCUUGCAUGCAUGAGGCUCUGGGUUCGAUUCCUCAGCAUCA
rnacentral:tRNA from 1 species